rnacentral:rRNA from 1 species
UACGGAGGGUGCGAGCGUUGUCCGGAAUCACUGGGCGUAAAGGGCGCGUAGGUGACCGAGCAAGGUCGCGGUGAAAGCCCGGGGCUCAACCCCGGGUCGGCCGUGGCAACUACUCGGCUUGAGCACUGUAGGGGCGGGUGGAAUUCCGGGUGUAGCGGUGAAAUGCGUAGAUAUCUGGAGGAACACCGGUGGCGAAGGCGACAUCCUGGACCGGUAUUGACGCUGAGGCGCGAAAGCCAGGGGAGCAAACGGG